rnacentral:rRNA from 1 species
UGGGGGAUAUUGCACAAUGGGGGAAACCCUGAUGCAGCGACGCCGCGUGAGGGAAGACGGUCUUCGGAUUGUAAACCUCUGUCUUCGGGGACGAAGUAAGACGGUACCCGAGGAGGAAGCCACGGCUAACUACGUGCCAGCAGCCGCGGUAAUACGUAGGUGGCGAGCGUUGUCCGGAAUUACUGGGUGUAAAGGGAGCGUAGGCGGGAAUGCAAGUUGAAUGUGAAAUCUAUCGGCUCAACCGAUAGCUGCGUUCAAAACUGUGUUUCUUGAGUGAAGUAGAGGCAGGCGGAAUUCCUAGUGUAGCGGUGAAAUGCGUAGAUAUUAGGAGGAACACCAGUGGCGAAGGCGGCCUGCUGGGCUUUUACUGACGCUGAGGCUCGAAAGCGUGGGUAGCAAACAGG